CACGUAGGGCGCAAGCGUUGUCCGGAAUUAUUGGGCGUAAAGAGCUCGUAGGCGGUCUGUUGCGUCCGCUGUGAAAAUCCGGGGCUCAACCCCGGACCUGCAUCCGAUACUGCGUGACUAGAGGUAGGUAGGGGAGAUCGGAAUUCCUGGUGUAGCGGUGAAAUGCGCAGAUAUCAGGAGGAACACCGGUGGCGAAGGCGGAUCUCUGGGCCUUACCUGACGCUCAGGCGCGAAAGCUAGGGGAGCGAACAGG
rnacentral:rRNA from 1 species